rnacentral:rRNA from 1 species
UACGUAGGGUGCAAGCGUUAAUCGGAAUUACUGGGCGUAAAGCGUGCGCAGGCGGUUUUGUAAGUCUGACGUGAAAUCCCCGGGCUCAACCUGGGAAUUGCGUUGGAGACUGCAAGGCUAGAAUCUGGCAGAGGGGGGUAGAAUUCCACGUGUAGCAGUGAAAUGCGUAGAGAUGUUGAGGAACACCGAUGGCGAAGGCAGCCCCCUGGGUCAAGAUUGACGCUCAUGCACGAAAGCGUGGGGAGCAAACAGG